rnacentral:tRNA from 1 species
ACUUAAAUAAUUUAGAAAAAAUAUUGAUUUGUGGUGUCAAAAAUGUGAUUGUAAAUAUCAUUUUAAGUU